rnacentral:rRNA from 1 species
AUUGAACGCUGGCGGCAGGCUUAACACAUGCAAGUCGAGCGGAGAUGAGGUGCUUGCACCUUAUCUUAGCGGCGGACGGGUGAGUAAUGCUUAGGAAUCUGCCUAUUAGUGGGGGACAACAUUCCGAAAGGAAUGCUAAUACCGCAUACGCCCUACGGGGGAAAGCAGGGGAUCUUCCGAACUUGAGCUAAUAGAUGAGCCUAAGUCGGAUUAGUUAGCUGGUGGGGUAAAGGCCUACCAAGGCGACGAUCUGUAGCGGGUCUGAGAGGAUGAUCCGCCACACUGGGACUGAGACACGGCCCAGACUCCUACGGGAGGCAGCAGUGGGGAAUAUUGGACAAUGGGCGGAAGCCUGAUCCAGCCAUGCCGCGUGUGUGAAGAAGGCCUUUUGGUUGUAAAGCACUUUAAGCGAGGAGGAGGCUACCUGGAUUAAUACUCUAGGAUAGUGGACGUUACUCGCAGAAUAAGCACCGGCUAACUCUGUGCCAGCCGCCGCGGUAAGAC